ensembl:snRNA U6 U6 spliceosomal RNA
GUGCUUGCUUCAGUAGCACACGUACUAAAUCUGGAAUGAUUCAGGAAGAUUAACAUGGCCUCUGCACAACGAUAUCAUACAAGCUUGUGACAUGAAGCCUUCCAUG